rnacentral:rRNA from 1 species
UACGUAGGGUGCGAGCGUUGUCCGGAAUUAUUGGGCGUAAAGAGCUCGUAGGCGGUGUGUCGCGUCGGCCGUGAAAACCUGCAGCUUAACUGUGGGCUUGCGGUCGAUACGGGCAUCACUGGAGUUCGGCAGGGGAGACUGGAAUUCCUGGUGUAGCGGUGAAAUGCGCAGAUAUCAGGAGGAACACCGGUGGCGAAGGCGGGUCUCUGGGCCGAUACUGACGCUGGAGGAGCGAAAAGCCGUGGGGGA